rnacentral:piRNA from 1 species
CACCCANUAAUGGUUCAUGCCCUACAGU